CCUAGUAACUGCGAGUGAAGCGGGAAGAGCUCAAAUUUGAAAUCUGGCGGCUCCGUCGUCCGAGUUGUAACCUGGAGAAGCGUUUUCCGUGCCGGACCGUGUACAAGUCCCUUGGAACAGGGCGUCAUAGAGGGUGAGAAUCCCGUCUUUGACACGGACCCCCGGUGCUCUGUGAUGCGCUCUCGAAGAGUCGAGUUGUUUGGGAAUGCAGCUCAAAAUGGGUGGUAAAUUCCAUCUAAAGCUAAAUAUUGGCGAGAGACCGAUAGCGAACAAGUACCGUGAGGGAAAGAUGAAAAGCACUUUGGAAAGAGAGUAAAACAGUACGUGAAAUUGUUGAAAGGGAAACGCUUGAAGUCAGUCGCGUCUGUCGGGACUCAGCUCCGCUCCGCGGGGUGCACUUCCCGACCGACGGGUCAGCAUCGGUUUUCGGGGACGGACAAAGGCGGGAGGAAGGUGGCAGCUCCGGCUGUGUUAUAGCCUCCCGUUGUACGCGUCCUCGGGGACCGAGGAAUCCGGCGCUCGCGCCUGGGAUGCUGGCGUAAUGGCUUUAAGCGACCCGUCUUGAAACACGGACCAAGGAGUGCUACACGCUCGCGAGUGUUUGGGUGGAAAACCCGGACGCGCAAUGAAAGUGAAAGUCGAGACCCUUUGCGGGGGCACCGACGCCCGAGCCUGACGUUUUCUGAAGGCCUUGCGGUAGAGCGAGCGCGUUGCGACCCGAAAGAUGGUGAACUAUUCCUGAGGAGGGCGAAGCCAGAGGAAACUCUGGUGGAGGCUCGUAGCGGUUCUGACGUGCAAAUCGAUCGCAGGACUUGGG
rnacentral:rRNA from 1 species